rnacentral:tRNA from 1 species
GCGGGGGUAGCCAAGCCAGGUCAACGGCGCAGGACUUAAGAUCCUGUUGUGCAGACAUUCGUGGGUUCAAAUCCCUCCCCCCGCA